rnacentral:piRNA from 1 species
UAUUAAAUAUUUGCAAUUAACAUUGGUC